rnacentral:rRNA from 1 species
AUUGAACGCUGGCGGCAGGCCUAACACAUGCAAGUCGAGCGGGGUUUUCGGACCUAGCGGCGGACGGGUGAGUAAUGCGUAGGAAGCUGCCCGAUAGAGGGGGAUACCAGUUGGAAACGACUGUUAAUACCGCAUAAUGUCUACGGGCCAAAGUGUGGGACAUUCGGGCCACAUGCUAUCGGAGGCGCCUAAGUGGGAUUAGCUAGUUGGUGGGGUAAUGGCUUACCAAGGCGACGAUCUCUAGCUGGUUUGAGAGGAUGAUCAGCCACACUGGAACUGAGACGCGGUCCAGACUCCUACGGGAGGCAGCAGUGGGGAAUAUUGGACAAUGGGCGCAAGCCUGAUCCAGCCAUGCCGCGUGUGUGAAGAAGGCCUUCGGGUUGUAAAGCACUUUCAGCGAGGAGGAAGGGUGGUGUGUUAAUAGCACAUCAUUUUGACGUUACUCGCAGAAGAAGCACCGGCUAACUCUGUGCCAGCAGCCGCAGUAACAC